rnacentral:rRNA from 1 species
GACAGAGGCCUCAAGCGUUGUUCGGAUUCAUUGGGCGUAAAGGGUGCGUAGGUGGCAUGGUUAGUCGGGCGUGAAAUCCCGGGGCUCAACCCCGGAACUGCACUCGAUACUGCCGUGCUGGAGUACUGGAGAGGAGACUGGAAUUUACGGUGUAGCAGUGAAAUGCGUAGAUAUCGUAAGGAAGACCGGUGGCGAAAGCUAGUCUCUGGACAGUCACUGACACUGAGGCACGAAGGCUAGGGGAGCAAACGGG